UAUCCCACUUCCUUUCCUUUUCUUCAGGGUAGAAGGGACACCAACAGACCAAUACAAUUCCCCUCAGCCAAAUAGCCUAAUUCAUUGCACAUGCCAGAAAUACAAAGAGCUUAGCUUACACAUGAAAGCUGUUACUACUGUCAAUAGGAAGAAAAUACAGAGGAAAGCUUUCAAGACUACAAGAAAAAGCUGACAACAAGAAAAAAGACACGUGAUGACAGACCAGUGACAUCCAGACCCUUCCGUGGCCACUGCGGCCAUAACUCUGAAGUGCACGCACCAUGAACCCCACAAGGCACAAGAGGAAGGCAGGAGUCACCCAUCGACUACAGGAACACUGCUCCCCACAUCAGUACAAUGAGCCCAACUUUGAGGUGCACUUUGGGCACAAGAGCUGAAAGAAAACAAGGGAGACUUUGAAGACACUUCAUAUAACAAGUAAACGCUGAGUUAGUGGUUCUCAAUGGUAGUCAUCAAGGAGUCCCAUUUGUAGGUUUUCAUCCCCACAAACCUAUCAUUCAGUUUGAAUGAUAUUCAGUUUGAAUAAUUAACUCAUCUGCUAAAUGUAGUUAGCCAGUAAGUAAUUUGCCUGUUCUGGUCUUUGUACCCGCCUGCCUGACUAUUCUGCCUGCCCUGACCUCGAGCCUGCCUGACUAUUCUGCCUGCCCUGACCUCGAGCCUGCCUGCCACUCUGUACCUCCUGGACUCUGAUCUGGUUAUGACCUUUUGCCUGUCCACGACCAUUCUCUUGCCUAUUCCCUUUAGAUUUAUUAAACAUCUGAAACUCCAACCAUCUGCCUCCCGUGU